AUGCAGAACCAACUACAUUCCAAAAUUGAAUCUAUCAGCUGGACUAGUGUGAAUACUGUUGUUAUUGAUGCAUUAGCCGGUAUUAACUUGCUGCCAUUGGUGUUGCUAUGUGAAGUCUGUGGAACAAAGAAGCAGAACGAUCGUGUGGAGAAUGAAGUUAUUCACAUGGCCCAAUAUAUAUGUAUAUAUAAUUGGAGUGUCAUUUUCAACACGCUUUUUGGCGUUACUACAAGUUUGAAUUGGAUGGAUGUUAUCACAAGAUUUGUUCUCAGAUUUUUGAAUGGUGCAAUUGGACCAACUAAGGUACUGUAA